UGAGGAAUAUUGGUCAAUGGACGAGAGUCUGAACCAGCCAAGUAGCGUGAAGGAUGAAGGUCCUACGGAUUGUAAACUUCUUUUAUAAGGGAAUAAACCCUCCCACGUGUGGGAGCUUGUAUGUACCUUAUGAAUAAGCAUCGGCUAACUCCGUGCCAGCAGCCGCGGUAAUACGGAGGAUGCGAGCGUUAUCCGGAUUUAUUGGGUUUAAAGGGAGCGCAGACGGGUCGUUAAGUCAGCUGUGAAAGUUUGGGGCUCAACCUUAAAAUUGCAGUUGAUACUGGCGUCCUUGAGUGCGGUUGAGGUGUGCGGAAUUCGUGGUGUAGCGGUGAAAUGAUUAGAUAUCACGAAGAACUCCGAUUGCGAAGGCAGCACACUAAUCCGUAACUGACGUUCAUGCUCGAAAGUGUGGGUAUCAAACAGG
rnacentral:rRNA from 1 species